AUAUCAAUAAGCGGAGGAAAAGAAACCAACAGGGAUUGCCCUAGUAACGGCGAGUGAAGCGGCAACAGCUCAAAUUUGAAAUCUGGCUCUUUUAGAGUCCGAGUUGUAAUUUGCAGAGGGCGCUUUGGCUUUGGCAGCGGUCCAAGUUCCUUGGAACAGGACGUCACAGAGGGUGAGAAUCCCGUACGUGGUCGCUAGCUAUUGCCGUGUAAAGCCCCUUCGACGAGUCGAGUUGUUUGGGAAUGCAGCUCUAAAUGGGAGGUAAAUUUCUUCUAAAGCUAAAUAUUGGCCAGAGACCGAUAGCGCACAAGUAGAGUGAUCGAAAGAUGAAAAGCACUUUGGAAAGAGAGUCAAACAGCACGUGAAAUUGUUGAAAGGGAAGCGCUUGCAGCCAGACUUGCUUGCAGUUGCUCAUCCGGGCUUUUGCCCGGUGCACUCUUCUGCAGGCAGGCCAGCAUCAGUUUGGGCGGUGGGAUAAAGGUCUCUGACACGUUCCUUCCUUCGGGUUGGCCAUAUAGGGGAGACGUCAUACCACCAGCCUGGACUGAGGUCCGCGCAUCUGCUAGGAUGCUGGCGUAAUGGCUGUAAGCGGCCCGUCUUGAAACACGGACCAAGGAGUCUAACAUCUAUGCGAGUGUUUGGGUGUCAAGCCCGAGCGCGUAAUGAAAGUGAACGGAGGUGGGAACCCGCAAGGGUGCACCAUCGACCGAUCCUGAAGUUUACGGAAGGAUUUGAGUAAGAGCAUGGCUGUUGGGACCCGAAAGAUGGUGAACUAUGCUUGAAUAGGGUGAAGCCAGAGGAAACUCUGGUGGAGGCUCGCAGCGGUUCUGACGUGCAAAUCGAUCGUCAAAUUUGGGCAUAGGGGCGAAAGACUAAUCGAACUAUCUAGUAGCUGGUUCCUGCC
rnacentral:rRNA from 1 species